AGCUUUCAGUGUUCAGUUAAUUGUUUGGUUAAAAGUUUGAAAUUUAUAGAUGAAACGGUGUGAUGCAUCAAAUGAACAAAUGUAAAAGGGCUGUGAUGAGGGUUAGGAUGUUGGAGGAUUGCAGAUGCACCUUAAUCGACUGUGCCAUGAUAUGGUAAAAGAAUUGCAACUGGGAGGUCUACUGACCUAAUGGCUUGGUUUGAACCCUCAUUGAUUUGUUCAUAUAAAUGUGCUUUGCUAGAUUAUAAUGGUAUCAAAGCAGCGCGUGGCUGUUCUGCUCGGCACAUCUAUGGAGCUGGUUGUGGAGGGUCCUUGUAUGCUACAGAAAGUAGCACGGGCUGAGCAGACAGCACACUGGAGAUGUGGUCUCGGGUUGAAUCCUGGGUGCUGGCAAGAAAUGCUGGGCUGAGUUUCUCGCCCUAUGCCCCUAAUAAGAAUUGGGAAGUCCAGAUGUUCAUCCUAGAGUUUGAAGGUGUUGAUUGCUUGACAUUCAGAAUGGGGUGGUAAUGAAGAUUAUGAUGGCAUCUAGGAAUUGACUGGCUUAAGAAGUGUGGCUGUUCUACUCUGCACAUUCCAAUAAACUGGUGGUUGUUGUCCUUGGUACUCUGGAUGUUUUCCUGGCCUUUGAAGUCUUCAGUUGAAACCUCAACCUGAAACAUACAAUUGUCAACAUUAGUUAUAUUGUAUACUAUUUAAUAAAUCUUUUAAUGAAAA